AGGGUUUGAUCNUGGCUCAGGACGAACGCUGGCGGCGUGCCUAAUACAUGCAAGUCGAGCGGAACCAGAGGAGCUUGCUCCUUCUGGUUUAGCGGCGGACGGGUGAGUAACACGUGGGCAACCUGCCCUGCAGAUCGGGAUAACUCCGGGAAACCGGUGCUAAUACCGAAUAGUUUUCGCCACCUCCUGGUGGCGUACGGAAAGACGGUUUCGGCUGUCACUGCAGGAUGGGCCCGCGGCGCAUUAGCUAGUUGGUGGGGUAACGGCCCACCAAGGCGACGAUGCGUAGCCGACCUGAGAGGGUGAUCGGCCACACUGGGACUGAGACACGGCCCAGACUCCUACGGGAGGCAGCAGUAGGGAAUCUUCCGCAAUGGACGCAAGUCUGACGGAGCAACGCCGCGUGAGUGAUGAAGGUUUUCGGAUCGUAAAACUCUGUUGCGAGGGAAGAAACCGUGCCAACUAACUACUGGCACCUUGACGGUACCUCGCCAGAAAGCCACGGCUAACUACGUGCCAGCAGCCGCGGUAAUACGUAGGUGGCAAGCGUUGUCCGGAAUUAUUGGGCGUAAAGCGCGCGCAGGCGGUCCCUUAAGUCUGAUGUGAAAGCCCACGGCUCAACCGUGGAGGGUCAUUGGAAACUGGGGGACUUGAGUGCAGAAGAGGAAAGUGGAAUUCCAUGUGUAGCGGUGAAAUGCGUAAAGAUGUGGAGGAACACCAGUGGCGAAGGCGACUUUCUGGUCUGUAACUGACGCUGAGGC
rnacentral:rRNA from 1 species